rnacentral:lncRNA from 1 species
AUUUGAUAAGAUAUGAGUAUAGAACUUGGUUGAUAAAUGAAUUCAUUUGUGAUUAUAUAAUUGUUCAUCUUGAAUGUACUGUCCAUAUGUAUUGAUAAUUCAAACGUAUUAAUGAAUAAAGUUCUGACAUGGAAUAAAUUGAAUACGAGACAAAUAAUUAUGAAAUUGAACUCGGAAUUCAUGAAAAUGACGGUUAUUGAUAUAUGGAGACAUGAGACAUUGGUAUAUGAAUAUGGAAAAUGUUUGAUAAAUGUGUUUAUUCAUAAUUAUGGAAUUAUAUACCUCAU